rnacentral:snoRNA from 10 species
GUGGCAGUGAUGAGCCCUAACAGACCUGUAAUGAUUCUUGUGUAUAUGAUCGCUUGAUUCAAAGAACAUCUAAGGGACUGAGUUGU